UACGGAGGGGGCUAGCGUUGUUCGGAAUUACUGGGCGUAAAGCGCACGUAGGCGGAUCUUUAAGUCAGGGGUGAAAUCCUGGAGCUCAACUCCAGAACUGCCUUUGAUACUGGGGAUCUCGAGUCCGGGAGAGGUGAGUGGAACUCCGGAGUGUAGAGGUGAAAUUCGUAGAUAUUCGGAAGAACACCAGUGGCGAAGGCGGCUCACUGGCCCGGUACUGACGCUGAGGUGCGAAAGCGUGGGGAGCAAACAGG
rnacentral:rRNA from 1 species